rnacentral:lncRNA from 1 species
CCAAGGGCAUGGCAGCAGCAUCUGGUGGGGUUCUGUGCUACAUUACCCCAUGGUGGAAGGGCAGAGGGCAGAGGGCAGAAGAGGAAAGGCAGAAGAGAAAGACAGCAUGGGAGACAGCAAGAAAAUGGAGGCCAAAACUUAUCCUUUUAUCAGGAAUCCACUCCCACAAGAUUGCACAGAGUUCUUGAUAUUGAAGAGUGAACCAUGUUCAAGGAAGAAGAGAUCACCCCAUAAAACCCUUCCAGCUUGUGUUACAAUCAGAUGCCUCUAAGAUGGACAAAAAAGGCACACAGAGAUAUUCCCUACUCAGGCUCUGGUCAAAUCUCUCUCCACUUAAUGGAGCAUGGCUUUCAACUGCACCUGGAGCAUGUUUGUAAACAAUGCCAUCAGGAAUAAAAGUGUUUGAAGCUGAAGCUGGGUCUUCCAUCCAAAUGUGGAAAGCGUGCCAGAGGACUGUCUUUCCCAUUCCCGCCCCACCUGCACAGCCAUAGACAAAGCUCAGCUCCGGGAUAAGGAAUAAUGUCUACAGCUGCAGCUGCCAGAUCAAGCUGGAGUCCCUCCCUGAUCUGAUGCCAUAAAGUAGGAGCUCUCAGUCACCAUAGGAGGAAAUCACUACCUCAGGCUGCUCACUAGAACCUCUGGGAAGAAACAGAGCUCCCCACCAUAAGUCACGGCUUUGGGGUCAGAGUCUCUGGAUCCAAGCCUGGUUCUGCUACUUGAGCCUCUCUUGAGUCUCAAUUUCCUCCCUGAAUAUAGGGAUGAUAAUCCCUGUCCCAUGAGUUGCACUGGGGAAUAAAUGUGAUCAUCUAUACAGUGCACUCAACAGCGGGCAUGACCUGUGGGAAGGGUCCCAUUAGUGUCCACAUUGCCAGUUAUGCAGUGAAUAUCAUUCAUGUCUCAGCUUAUGUA